AUUGAACGCUGGCGGCAUGCCUUACACAUGCAAGUCGAGCGGCAGCGCGGGGGCAACCCUGGCGGCGAGCGGCGAACGGGUGAGUAAUACAUCGGAACGUGUCCAGUAGCGGGGGAUAACCUGUCGAAAGAUAGGCUAAUACCGCAUACGAUCCACGGAUGAAAGCGGGGGACUCUCGGGCAACUGAGGGCCUCGCACUAUUGGAGCGGCCGAUGUCGGAUUAGCUAGUUGGCGGGGUAAAAGCCCACCAAGGCGACGAUCCGUAGCUGGUCUGAGAGGACGACCAGCCACACUGGAACUGAGACACGGUCCAGACUCCCACGGGAGGCAGCAGGUGGGGAAUUUUUGGACAAUGGGCGCAAGCCUGAUCCAGCCAUGCCGCGUGAGUGAAGAAGGCC
rnacentral:rRNA from 1 species